ensembl:lncRNA
UUUUAAUAAAGUUAUAGUAGUAUGUGUGAGAGAGAGUGUGUGUUAUGUCUACAUGCCCGCCCUUGACUGUACGAGAGUGUGUGUGUGUGUGUGUUAGCACUCCCAGCUCGUAUACUUCUUUUUGACCCUUUGACUAAUAAACCAUAGUGUAUUACUCUUAAAGAUCUAAGAUCUUUAAUGUGUGAAUCCAAUUCAAUAUUCAAUAUCAGUCAAUAUCCGCCUCACACCACUUCUGUGUGUCUUUUCCGUCUUUUCUUCUUCUCCCCUUUACUGGAUACUAGGUCUCCCUCAUGUUUAUUUUAUGACAUUUUUUAUCCACAACACAGGAAAAUCUAUAUAUAAGAAAAUAUUUUCCUAGAAGCACAAAUAAGGGUAUUUUACCCUUUUUGUCAUUUUAAUUUGCACCUUGAACUGUAUGCUUUUUCUGUCAUUUUAUAUUCUGCCUUCACACAGUUCUUUGCACAGUGUAGUCACAUAAUGGAAAUGUUGAGUUCAAAGUACUGUCACCAUGUUAGACUACUAGGUGCACAGCAAGACUUAAACACAAUGAAUAAGGGUGUGUCACAUUUAAAAACAUCUUUACAAUUGCAGUGAACACAAUAAAAAGUGAUAUUUUUAUAUGAUAGACAUUUCCAGGAAACUUAAAUGUCCAAAACUGUCCUGGAUACUCUACCUUGACAAAUUGGACAAGUCUUCCUAUGCCAUCUUUGUGCAAUUUUGUGCUUGGUUUUUGUGUGUUGGUUUUUGUUUUUGUUUUUUUCUUCUCCAGACUCUGGAGGUUUUACCUCUUUUUGGGAUCUGGAAGAACGAUGUUAAGGAGUCCAUUCAGGUGAAUGAACAAGAAAAACUUUUAGGUUAUAUCUCUUUAGCAUUUCCAUUCCAGUGGAGUUUGUGUCUAUGGUGAGGAGUGUUAUGGCUCCCAACAUACCCAGCGUUUGAGGGAGUAGUGGACUUCUAAUUCAACAAUAACAUAAUGGUUCCAGAGAGAACCAGAGCUAUUGUGAAUAUAGACAAUAUACUAAAUAGAAGUUGUGCUGUACGUGGACUACUUUUCAUUUUACACAGUUAUAACUGUAUAGAGAAGUACCAUGUUGGUAAUUU